UUGCAGUCCAUAAAUAAAAUGUUUGGAUACGUUUAAUAAUGCUGAAAUGCUUGUCAUGCUCUUCUGAUCUCACUUUGUGCUUGUUGCCCCUAACUCAGAGUGCAGAGGAGCUGCUUGGGACCAGGGUCGUGGCAGCACCAGGGGAGCUGGCAGCUCUGGCCUUAAAGCCUGGGCCUUGGAAGAAAUGGAGGUGUUGGGGCUUUUGUAGUUAAAUACAAUGUAAGUAACAUGACAGUUGCCUUCAUUGUUUUCUUGAUGAAAUGAGUCCUGUUGAGCUGCUUCCAGGCAGCAGAUGGUGAAGAUCCCACUUGUCUGUUGGCUGGGUCCGCAGCUGGCUGGGAAGCACUUUGCUGUUGUGCCAUGGGAUCCAUCACAGGAAUUCUCAGACGUGAAGAAAGGUACCAAAUUUGAAGGGCUUGCCAAGGGUUUCCAUUAAUCCUGGAGCAGGAGGUGGAUGCUGUUGCAGCAAAGGGCUCCAGCUCUGUUCAGAAAAGCUCCCGAAGUGUCUACUUAGACAUUUGCUGAUUUUCAGCUGGAAAUUCAAAUGGCCUUUUCAAGACUGCUUGAUAACUUUCUGCUUUCCUUUUAUUUUUGGCUGUUAGCAAAGAGUCUUUCCUCAUAGACAUACUUCAAAAUGAGAAAGGAAUACACUGGUAUUUCCUACCUGUACUCAUGACAGUCACUUCCAGCUCAUGGUCUGCUGGGAGAAGUAAAAACACGAGCUUUCAAACUCCCUGUUUCUGUCUACUCAGUGUUUCAAGUAAUCUGAACCACACAAAUGUAAAUGCUUCUGAUUUCAUGUUGUAUUUCAUAUACUUGAUUUCCAAGUAUAGUAUUAUAUAUAUAUAUAUUAUAGUAUAGUAUUAUAUAUAUAUAUAUCAUAUAUAUUAUAUAUAUAGUAUUGGUCUUGAUGCCCAAGACCAAUGAGAAGAUUUCCAAGCAAAAACUCUGGCUGCUCACCAAGCAGGCUUUGCUUGACAGUUUGGGAUCCAUCACAGGAAUUCUCAGACAUGAAGAAAGGUACCAAAUUUGAAGGGCUUGCCAACGGUUUCCAUUAAUCCUGGAGCAGGAGGUGGAUGCUGUUGGUGGAUCUCAGCUUGUCUGAGACAUGCUUGUUGUUCAGGAUUUGCAGUUCCCUGAACUGUACAUCAGCUGUGGUGCUGGCAAGCCUGGGAUGCUGACUGGUGACUGAUGAUGCAGCGAAGGUAAUAACCAAGGCAGUUGGCAGAAUUUGAGGGUGGCAAAGUGUUUAUGAUUUAAAAUGACAAAAUGCAUAAAGUACCUAUGGCUCUGUAUAGAUGCUGAAAGAAUAAAUAACAUAAAUCAGACCAUCUGGCACUCAGGACUUUUAGUGCAGUCUUAGCCAGCAGUUCGUAGGAAAUAGAAACAUGAUAAUACCAUCUCUCAAUGGUUGUUAGGAGCGAUCACUGUGAAAUGUGUGUAAACACUGAACUGGAAUUUCUGGAAACAGCAGCAUAUGCAAAAUUGGCAGAAAAUCACCAUGCUCUGGGGAUUAGAGUAACUGGAAGGAGAGCACCAGUGAGCUUGGAAGGACUCAUGGAUCUGCAGGACAAGACAUGGCUGAUGCAGGGCUGCUGGCUACCUGUGCCAGUUGCUGACAGUGCUGCUGGAGAUGUGACAGCACACCGAGCCAUCUCGUCUCUUGCAGUCUGUAGGCUCUGAUGGGGCUGAGUGACGUAAUGCCGUUCCCAAAUUGCUUGUUGUUGUCCCUUCCUCAUCCCUCAAGAAGCUCAGGAAGGCUAGAUGUCAGGAGGCUCUAAAGGGUGCUUUGAGUAAUAGGCCCUGGUGAUUAGCAACUCCUAUGUUUUCACAAGCGCUAACAAGUUAGUCACAGAGAGGGCUUCUGUAUGGGAACUGUUGAGUCCCAGCCUGAACCACUGAUGGAGCACCUGGAGAAAGGACCUGGUCAGCCCUGGGAGCACAGGUGAAGGCAAUUCAUCUGAGUGAUAGGAAGGAGUGGGGCCUGGCUGCACCUCUCUUGGACCUCAUUUAAGGGCUGACUGCCUGGGGGGAAGGAUCUCUUUCUGGAGAUCCCUCCUUGGUGAAGCUUUCCCCUGUGAACCUGGAAUCUUCUGAUAUGGAUAAGCAGUCUUCUCUGCUUCCUUUGUAGCACCUUUCUAUCGUGCUGGUCCUUCAUCAUUGCACCUCUGAGCUCAGACAAAGCAGUUGCCUUCCAUGCCAAGUCCCUCAGGGUGCUGUCAUGUCCCCUCUCCUCAUGCUGCAGGGUAGAAAGCUACAGGGAGCACUGGCUGGGAAGUGUGGCUGCACAGAUCCAUGGAUAUAGCAUCAAGAUUUAACCUCCAUUGGAGCAGCUGUGAUGGUUCAGCAAAUUAUCUCAUCCGCAUCAGAAAUUGUGGCUUCAGUGAGUGUGACCUGAGGCUGAGCGUCAGGUGAAUUAAGGAGCAGCAGAAAGUGACACAUUCACAGUGUUAAUGGCUUUCAUAG
ensembl:lncRNA